rnacentral:rRNA from 1 species
UAGGGAAUAUUGCACAAUGGGCGAAAGCCUGAUGCAGCAACGCCGCGUGCGUGAUGAAGGCCUUCGGGUCGUAAAGCACUUUUCUGGGAGAUGAGAAAGGACAGUAUCCCAGGAAUAAGUCUCGGCUAACUACGUGCCAGCAGCCGCGGUAAAACGUAGGAGGCAAGCGUUAUCCGGAUUCACUGGGCGUAAAGCGCGUGCAGGCGGUGCGGUAAGUUGGGCGUGAAAUCUCCCGGCUCAACUGGGAGAGGUCGUCCAAUACUACCGUACUUGAGAGCAGAAGAGGAAGAUGGAAUUCCCGGUGUAGUGGUGAAAUGCGUAGAUAUCGGGAGGAACACCAGUGGCGAAGGCGAUCUUCUGGUCUGUUUCUGACGCUCAGACGCGACAGCUAGGGUAGUAAACGGGAUUAGAGACCCCGGUAAUCCUAGCCGUAAACGAUGUGAACUUGGCGUUGGUGGUAAACUCAUCAGUGCCGUAGCAAACGCGAUAAGUUCACCGUCCG